UAUCACUUUAAUUGCUCCCUCCAUGACCACAGCAAUCAGUUUUCAUGACCAUGCUCUGCUCAUUCACCGAGCGCCAGACACUUUGAAUUUCUGUUCAUUCACAGUUUAGUGAAUAACCCUGAGGGAGUAUCAGUGUAGAUUUCUCAGAAUGUAAUAAUUCAAAAAGUAUAUUGUCAUCACAGCCCCAUUUAUAAUGGACUGCAAAAUACAGCUGUAUAUACCACACAAUAAAUUGGUUUCUUUGGGUGAAAUCCCUGUCUGUCAUUGCCUCUAGGCAUGCUGUGGACUGUUGGGCUGAUUGAAUUAGAUGGGUGUUCCAUAGAAUCAUCAAUACAUAUAACCCUUCUCUUAAAUCUCCCUAAAACGAAUGCCGUAUAGCCUAAUGUAAACGCCUAACCCCAAUUAUUCCUCUUACACUAAUACUUAGUCCCCCUUACCCUACAUGCCCCUAUCAUGAAAGGAGCAUUUAAAGCAG